UGGAGGCUUGGAUGUUAUUCAUACCUAUGUGUUCUGGAACCUCCAUGAACAUUCACCUGGCAAUGUGUUGUUUGCUUAGGCAGCCAAAGUUAUGACCAUUUGAUGGAACUUCAUAAGGCGAUUAAGUUAAGUGAGAGAGCUUUAGUUAAUGCAGAUCCGACUGUUACGCCGUUGGGAAACUAUGAACAGGCACAUGUAUUUUCUUCCAUGUCUGGUGGCUGUGCGUCUUUUCUCGCAAAUUUCCAUUUGAAUUCACCUGCCACAGUGAUAUUCAAUCAGAGGCACUAUGAACUGCCACCUUGGUCAAUUAGUAUUCUUUCAGAUUGCAAAACUGCUAU